UCCAUUCCAACACAUACUAACAUAAGCUGGUGGAACUAGAACAAUCACAAACUCACAAUAUGAAGUUUACCAGCUCAAUAUAAGUAUUUGAAUCAGAACAGAAAAUAAAUUUAAAUUUUGAGUAGCCUAUGGGUCAAAAAUAACUAAUUGAGCAAACACUUAGGCCAUGUACAAUGGUUGAUAAGAUAGUGUUAUCUUAAGUCUUGCGUGUAAUUUAGAGAUGAAAAAAUGUCUACAAUGGGUCAUCUCUUAGCCUUAUCUUCAAUAACUAGCUAUUCCUAUAAACAUGGUGAGACAUAUUGUGCUAAGAGAUCAUCGCUUGUCUUCUCUUAAAUAAGAGAAGGCAAAACCUUUUUUUAUGAGUUCUCUCCUCCACCUCAUCAUUUAUCCUAUGUGGCACUCCAAAGAUAGCACCAUUGUACAUGCCCUUAUCUACUGUUUCAAACACAUAGAAUUGGUUUCUGUUAUAAUUAUCAGACAAGUAACAGAAU
rnacentral:lncRNA from 1 species